UCAGAUGUGUAUCAGAGCCACUCUAGCCAAUUUUAUUAACGAAAAAUUUUACGUGAUUUACUUUUCACCAGUCUGUUCUGGCUUGCUUCGAAUGAUAUCAGAAUCACCUGGAUCAAUAAUAGCCAGU